CAGAGGUCUCAAGCGUUGUUCGGAUUCAUUGGGCGUAAAGGGUGCGUAGGCGGCGCGGUAAGUCGGGUGUGAAAUCUCGGAGCUUAACUCCGAAACUGCAUUCGAUACUGCCGUGCUUGAGGACUGGAGAGGAGACUGGAAUUUACGGUGUAGCGGUGAAAUGCGUAGAUAUCGUAAGGAAGACCAGUGGCGAAGGCGGGUCUCUGGACAGUUCCUGACGCUGAGGCACGAAGGUCAGGGGAGCAAACGGGAUUAGAUACCCCGGUAGUCCUGACAGUAAACGGUGCACGUUUGGUGUGGGAGGAUUCGACCCCUUCUGCGCCGGAGCUAACGCGUUAAACGUGCCGCCUGGGGAGUACGGUCGCAAGAUUA
rnacentral:rRNA from 1 species